UACGUAGGGGGCAAGCGUUGUCCGGAAUCAUUGGGCGUAAAGAGCUCGUAGGCGGUCUGUUGCGUCCGCUGUGAAAACUCGGGGCUUAACCCCGAGCCUGCAGUGGAUACGGGCAGACUAGAGGUAGGUAGGGGAGAAUGGAAUUCCCGGUGUAGCGGUGAAAUGCGCAGAUAUCGGGAGGAACACCGGUGGCGAAGGCGGUUCUCUGGGCCUUACCUGACGCUGAGGAGCGAAAGCGUGGGGAUCAAACAGG
rnacentral:rRNA from 1 species